rnacentral:rRNA from 2 species
CAAUAAGCGGAGGAAAAGAAACCAACAGGGAUUGCCCUAGUAACGGCGAGCGAAGCGGCAACAGCUCAAAUUUGAAAUCUGGCUCCUUUUGGGGUCCGAGUUGUAAUUUGCAGAGGAUGCUUUUGGCGAGGCGCCUUCCGAGUUCCCUGGAACGGGACGCCAUAGAGGGUGAGAGCCCCGUACGGUCGGAUUGCCGAGCCUCUGUAUAGCUCCUUCAACGAGUCGAGUAGUUUGGGAAUGCUGCUCUAAAUGGGAGGUACAUCUCUUCUAAAGCUAAAUACCGGCCAGAGACCGAUAGCGCACAAGUAGAGUGAUCGAAAGA